GUGGACAUGUUCUAGUCUAAGAACAGAAGCUGAAGCUUGUCUCUAUGGACUAUACAUCAAUGUUUGUGAUCUUGGAGAAGGGAACCAAGAUACUGGAGAAGAAUAUUCUGGAAAGGCAAGAUGGCUCCUGUUUCUCUGAAGAGUUCUGGAUGUGGGAACAAUUCAGCUUUUUCCCACUUCUCAGCCAUACCAUCGUCAGUCACCUCAGAAUGUUUAAUUCUUUGGCAGACGGAACUGGUGAGGUGGCCCCCAUUACCGCCUUUCUUGACGUCAGUGAGGGAGUUGUUCCCUGUGGCUGUCUUAUGUGAAAUAAUUCAGCAUUUGUACUUCAAUUAAAUUCAUAGGUAUAUAUUAUUAAAUGGUACUGAC
rnacentral:lncRNA from 1 species